GACGAACGCUGGCGGCGUGCUUAACACAUGCAAGUCGAAGGAGUGGCGAACGGGUGAGUAACACGUGAGUAACCUGCCCCUUCUUUUGGAUAACCGCAUGAAAGUGUGGCUAAUAUAGGAUAGUGGGGGAUGGGGGCGCGGCCUAUCAGCUGGUUGGUGGGGUGAUGGCCUACCAAGGCGGUGCCGGGUAGCCGGCGUGGGAGGGUGGGCGGGCAAACUGGGACGGGGCUACGGCCCAAACGUCUGCGGGAGGGAGCAGUGGGGGAUUUUGCACCAUGGGCGGAAGCCUCAUGCAGCGACGCCGCGUGAGGGAUGAAGGGCUUCGGGUUGUAAACCUCUUUCGCUGGGUUAAUUUGAACUGGUAAAGAAGUACCGGCUAACUACGUGCCAGCAGCCGCGGUAAUUC
rnacentral:rRNA from 1 species